UAGGAAACACACCAAGGUCAAAGAGAUUGCCAUGAUCAUGCAAGUAUCUACAGUAACAGCAGUGCAUGACCAGAUUUUUCUGACCGCAUCCCUGGACUUCCACCUCGACACAAACACACAGUUAAUGCAAAGCUCUAGGGAUAACUUUGAGAGCAAGGAGAGCAAUACCCAGAAGCAGUCAAGAGGUCCAUGGUCACUCUGGAGGAGCCAGAGUGCCAGAGCUUGGUUGGGAGACAGCUAACAGUCCUGCGCAACAAAAUAGAUUACUGGAAACCAAGCAUAUUUGCACAAUUUGGUACUUUGUGCUGAUUGAUCAACUAAGUCCUAUAAAAAAAAAAAAAAAAAAAAA